rnacentral:rRNA from 1 species
UACGAAGGGGGGCUAGCGUUGCUCGGAAUCACUGGGCGUAAAGCGCACGUAGGCGGCUUUUUAAGUCAGGGGUGAAAUCCUGGAGCUCAACUCCAGAACUGCCUUUGAUACUGAGAAGCUUGAGUUCGGGAGAGGUGAGUGGAACUGCGAGUGUAGAGGUGAAAUUCGUAGAUAUUCGCAAGAACACCAGUGGCGAAGGCGGCUCACUGGCCCGAUACUGACGCUGAGGUGCGAAAGCGUGGGGAGCAAACAGG